rnacentral:rRNA from 1 species
UACGAAGGGGGCUAGCGUUGCUCGGAAUCACUGGGCGUAAAGGGUGCGUAGGCGGGUUUUUAAGUCAGAGGUGAAAUCCUGGAGCUCAACUCCAGAACUGCCUUUGAUACUGAGAAUCUUGAGUUCGGGAGAGGUGAGUGGAACUGCGAGUGUAGAGGUGAAAUUCGUAGAUAUUCGCAAGAACACCGGUGGCGAAGGCGGAUCUCUGGGCCGAUACUGACGCUGAGGAGCGAAAGCGUGGGGAGCGAACAGG